AUACUCUGGAUUCUCUUCAGAUUAUAUACAUCUUCAUCUUUUGCCCCUUACUGAAGAUUUCCAUGGAGAGGAACAAGCACAAGUGUCUUGGAAUUUUCUGAGGCUUCUCGUCGGUGGAGAUUU
rnacentral:snRNA from 7 species